UCUUAGCAGAAGAGAUAACAUCUAUAGCAAAAAGUAUAAAAUUUUGCCUAGCAAUCUUUGUAAAAUAAUAAUCAACUCGUCAACUUGAAUGAAGUCUUCAAAACCUACAUCUUGACGUGCAAACUAAGUAUCCAAAACCUGUGAAAAAUAUAAAAUAUUCUAUGAAAAAAGCUACAAGGAUGAACUAGAAAAUUGGUUUAAAAAAUUUCAUCUAAAUUAAGAGUAGUAGUAACUUAACCACUCACAUGUCAGAUUCUAUCAAGUGUAAUUAUAUGCACCUUCAAAAUUUGAAACAUCAAGGAAAAAGGGGCUGCAAAAAAUAUAAACGAUAAUAAAUUAGAAUAUCAAACAAACAAUGUUAGAGUAGAAGCUAGCAUUCUUUUAUCAUUGACACAAAUUAUUGAACAUGAGCAAAACCUUAUAAAACUGAUCAUUAAACAUUAAGAAACAUGAAGCUGAAAUUUAACAUGACAUGGAUCCAAACUCCAGUCUAUAUAUAAUAUUGAGAUCAAGUAUUUAAAGCUAAUCCAUAAACAAGUACCAAAUGUGCUAACUAUAUAAAACGACAGCUUCAUUUAAACGGGAUCAAAUCUCGAAAUAAACUAGAAGACAUAACAAUUUUCUAAGAUGUACAAUCAAAUAAGAAACAUAAAACAAGAAAGAGCCCCCAAAAUUGAUCAUGUCAUUGAAUGCGGGAAGCAUAAUAAAAGACUCAAUAUGAAAUUACAUGAUUAGUAAUCUUCAAUUAAAGAUUCAAUAUAAACUUCAUAACAAUUUAAGGUAUAGAGAUAUUAAGCUUUUCACUGAAGUAUUCAAUGGCUUUUUCAAUUACCGAUGUCAAUGAUCUUCUGAUAACAAGACAGAUAUACAACAACAACAAUAACAACAACCCAGUAAAAUCCCACUAGUAGGGUCUAGGGAGGGUAGUAUAUACGCAGACCUUACUCCUACCCCGCAGGAGUAGAGUAACAAGACAGAUAUAGACCUUUUUAAUUCAUACCACUUCUUUUGCCAGUUUCUCCUUACAUUGAUCUGAAUAUUUUUUGUUUCAUGAACAAGCUCAACAAUUCUUCAACUAUGACAUGUCUAAUGCAUCAGUAAAGAAGAAGAAUCAAAAGUCAAUGGACAUUGUAAAUAAAAUGAAAGAACUUGCAAAAUUUCAUAAGAUAGAGAAAAAGAAUAAUGUAUAGGACUUGAAAUGUUGCUUACCCUAUACCCAUAGUACUCCAAUAACAAGGCCAGUUUCUCCAUGAAGUCUUUCAGCUCCAUUGCUGCCUACUACAACAGUGAUAAAAAAUUUCUAAUGACAGAACGAAAGAAUUUUAUUGUAUUCUACUACUCAAAUUAUAAAAGUUGUUCCUCAGACCUAUAUUACAUUAUGUUAAAACAAUUAUAGUCACCGCUCACUAACCAUUAGCGCCAGUGCGUAAAUUGCUCUAACAUUUCUUAUAUCGAUAUCAUGCUUAAAUAAAGAUAUGAUAAAUCUAAUGCAAUGUUUUCACUUAAAAAGAGCUAUUUGUUUGUGAAAUAAAGAUUCAUUCAACACUAGCCCGUUAAUAUACAUUAGAGAAUCAAGUUUAUCAAGGCAAUAAACUAAAAUAAUGAGACCUUUAAACUGUAGGAAAAUGGCACUUGAUCCAAAAUGAACGGGUUUCACCCACCAAAGCUCAAGGGCAGUGACAAUAUAGACAUAGACAUCUGUUAAUAACUAUAGUGUAAAUGGCUAGCACAAAAGUCAAACAAUGAUAAAACCAAGAGAACACAAUAGAACCUUAAAAAAUUUGGUAUGGCCAAUUGCAAUAAAAAUAACAAGUAGUCCACGAAAGAAAAUAAUAUUUUAUAGUUCGCAACAAAAAUUAAAUUGUUAGGUAAGUUAUCAACCAUUAAAAGGACGCUUAAAUAGAGCUAGCGCAAAAUUUUAGAACUUCACACUUUUGCUAAGCUUUCUCUUACCUUUCUAUUGAAAAAUUAAAUCUGGAUUUUCAGUCACAAAAUCCAGUACCUUGCUUCCUCCCCUCCCAUCACAUCUCCUCCCCUGCCCCACAAACCACGAACAACCCAAAUGGUAUCAAGCAUCAACAUAUUCAUGCUAAAAAGAGAUUAAUUUUACCAUGCAAAAUUACAGAAGCAACCAUCAUCCAAACAAAGUGAUUUGCAAACUAGAGAAUAUCAUAAUCUAAUUAAUUGGAUUAGUCGCACAAUAAGACUAUAGUAAAGAAAGCACCAAAAACCUCAAGCUUCACCCAAAACUCUAUUUGUACCAAAUCAAUGACACUUACGAAUCAUCGUCUCCGUCUACUUCUCAAAGAUAUAUAGGAAAGGAUGAACAUAUACUUACCUGAUUAGUGAACCCCCCAAAAGAGUAUCUCUUACUGAAAUCACUACAAUUCCCCAAAGCCCGGACAUGACAUAGAACAACCAGAGAUGUUAGAUCCAAAAAGUUGAGAGUUCUAUCAGCACGAGCUGUAAGGUAAGUAAUUUUUAAGAGAAAAUAAUAAAAACCCAAAUCCCCCAUAAAAUUCAAUAAAGGACAAGUUUGCCAAAUCCCAAAAUAUAUAACCAAAUCUGAAGGAAUUUUAAAAUUUUAUUUCGAUCUUUCCUGGGUUUAGGAAAAGUAGACUUUCUCGCAUGUGAUUUACCCAAUUGUCCCCUCGCUGAUAUUCCAAAAUGGCAUACGAAUUUAUAAUGGCAAACCCCCGCCACUCUUUCACAAAUAAAUCACAAAAGUUUAAAAAUAUACACCAUUUAUAAAUUACAUAGAUGAACGAGUUUAACUGGGGGGGGGGGAAGAAAAGAAGAAUUUUUUAUAUAUAUAAGGACUUACAUCUCUUUGUAGUUUUCGUGCCUAAAUCAUCAGCGACGUAAAAAUUUAGAUCAGAUUUCUAGGAUAUUUUUGCAUAUACCAUCUCCAGAAAAAGAGGGCUCACAUGGAUUAGUAGCAUGAUUUGUUAGAUCGAGUGUAUCCAAAAGAGUUUAGGG
rnacentral:lncRNA from 1 species